GGUCCAUCCGGCCUGGGAGCACGGCCUGCACACGACUGAGCCGGAGGGACUCUCGGAGCUGUGGGCUCAGGUCUGGGUGGGGAGCGGCCGGAGAGAAGCAGGAGGCCAGCGCAUGGAGCAGCUGGGCUGGCAGAGUUGAAAACAAUCAACAGAAGAAGACUAUUUCACGAUACACAGAAAUUAUCUAAAACCCAAACUUCCGUGUCCAGAAGGAAAGAUUUAGUGGAGCCGGCCACACUGACCUGCAGCAUCAAGCCGCAGACGCAGACGCCCACUGAGACUGCGGGGACCGCGUGGCCCACGUGGCCGAAAAGGCUUGCCCUCCGGCCCCUGAGAGGAGAUCUGCUGACCCCUGACCUGAAACCUGGCAGGUGCUCUUGUGUGCCUGAAAUAGCCCCUCGGGGGGUCCUGGGGGGUCUUCCAGACCUGCCACGGUUGUUGCUGAUGUUUAAUUGUUUGACUUUUUUUCUUUAAUCAUUUAAAAAAUAAUAUCCAUUUCUUGUAACAAGUUAAAAUAAUAGGAGCUACGCCA